UGCUGGGUGGUUGAGAGUGGGUGCGGGAAGAGGUGGGAUGUAGGCGUUAGUAGGGAUGACUGGGCGGAGAGUUCUAGGUGUCGGUUAGAGAUGUAUGAUGUGGAAGCCCCUGGUGCACAGUGGGAAGGGUAGUUAAAACUGUGCGGCAAGAGGCUUGUAGAGGGGGGGAGAAGUCGAUGUGUACCGGUGAAAUGCAGAGAGAUCGGGAGGAAGACCGGGGGUGAAGGCGGCAACCUGGACAAAGACUGACGCGAAGGUGCGAAAGCGUGAGGAGCAAACAGGAUUAGAUACCCCUGUAGUC
rnacentral:rRNA from 1 species